AGAGUUAGGGAGAGGCGGCCGAGCUGCACACCUUGAGCCCCGGCCUCCUCCGAAGGGAACCCCUGCACCCCAGCGGGGUCAGCACAAGGUAGAGAAGGUAGAGGUCAGGGUGGAACAAAAGGGAAGGUCCCGCGGGUGUGCACGCUCUCGCAGGCACACAGCCGGCUCGCGGAGACACAGGGGCGGGGGAGGGGAGGGGAGGGGAGGGGAGGGCCUGACCUGAGAGGCCAGAGCGGGCGUGGGGGCCCCCCUCGGGUCAGGAGCCGGCCUCACCUUUGCAGUUCUUAUAUACCCGGCCAAGCAUCCCAAACACGCGGCCCUGGCCAAGUGGCCCCCUCGGGCUGCGCUCCCUGACCAUAUUUAGUCAAGCAGGGGAAAAAAUAGCCUGUCAGCUGGGCCGCGGCUGGCCCGGCCACCGGGAACAGGGUGGGAGCACCCACGCCAUUGACGGCGGGUCCCGGGCUCAGGCUGCUGUCCUGCCCCUCCCGGCCCCUCCCUGACAGGCCUCCCACCGGCUGUCCCUGCCCGAGAUCCCCCCGCUAUUUUUAGCCCAGCCAGUACAGAGGCGCCUCCUCAGUAGCCGGGCAGCAGCCUCCAUGCCAUGCCAGCCGGCUCCUAGGGUGCCCUGGGGAGACCCGGGCAUCUCCCAGGCUGCAGGGCCGGGGGUGGGGGGGGCGGGCAGAAUGGUACGGCCUCCUUCGCUGCUCUGAGCCUCCAGUGGGCUGAGCCCACCCAGGCCACCAGGAGUGGGUGGCCCCCUCCACAGUCCCAUCGGCUCUGCCCUUUUGCCUAGAAUUGGGGCCAGGAUCAGGUGGUGACAGAGCCACCUGGGUUUCCGGAGACUCUCAAGCCAACCCCAAGUCAUGACAAAUGCCAGUCGCCUUGGACAGAGGCAAGGUCAACCUGCUUGCCGCCCCCAGCCAGGCCCUGCCACCAAGGGGCCUGGACGCAGAGACCAGAGGCCUGAACUGGCAGACUGUCCUCACAGGCUGUGUGACGCUGGCUGGUCGUCCCAUCUCUCUGGGGCCCCACAGGACUGGGGACCAGGUCGUGGAAUGACAGUGGACCACAGUGGUCCGGGGACCCCGCUCGUUGGUGGCAGGCACAGGCCCGUGUGAUGGGGACAAUGAGCUUUGGUAUUUGUGAGUCCUGUCCAGAGCAUAGGUCCUCCUGUUCAGAAGCCACCUCAUAAAUGUCCCCAGUGCCUCCCGGACUUAGGAAGGCAUCCCCUUGUGGUUCUGGCCAGUUAGGGACACAGGGCCGGGGAGUCUAUGCCGCUCAGAACAGGCUCAGCUGCAUCUAAUCCCAGGGGAGCCCCUGAGGAGCCUGCACACCCCCCAGGCUGGCCCACAGGAGCUGAGGCAGGGCUCUCCUCCAGGUUCACCUCCUGGGCUCACGGCCCCUUCCCCACAUCCCAAGGCCGGCUCUGCAGAGUCAUGGGGAGAAGCCGGAGCCCCAGCCACACUCGCCACACACGCCGACACCCACUCUGGUGUCCUCCGGCCAGCGACAGCGAGGGACAGAGGGACGCCCCCUGCACCUGCCCAGUGCAGAGGCUUCUUGAGUGAUGCCAGGCCCUUCUCCCAGCCCUGUACGCCCCGCUAAAGACCCCAUGUCUCACCAUAAAGGAGGCCAGGAGGUUUUAAGCUUCUACCUGGUCUGAGCACUUUUCUGGAAACUAAAUAGCCACUCGGCUUCCCACUGGCAGCGGGAGAGCGUGGUGUGAGGUGUGGUGUCCAAACUCCCCCUGCAAGGCCCCUCCCCUGCAGCCCACUUCCUCCUGCCUGCCGUCUCCAGGCAGGGUUGAGGGGGGCAGGCCAGGCCUGCAGCUGGGGUCAGGGGCAUAGACAGCCACAAUGGGGGAGGUGGGGAGCAGUCUGCAGGCCUGGGCAGGCGGCUCUGUAAAGGAUGCGGGUGCUUUGUGGUGGUGAGAGAGAGGGUAUGCAGCAGACGUGGCCAUAAAUCACCCUCCUCACGGCAGCCCCACACCCACGGACCAGGGCACGGGCACAGGGCCAUCUCCUUCCAGGAGAAGGGCUGGUGUGGGUGGCCAGAUCUGACAGCCCCCAGGCCGUAGGACAGAGCCAGAAGACAGAGCAGUUCCCCCGUUUACCCAUAGCACCAGCCUCACAGUAACAGCCGGCACACAGCACUUAGGCUGCCUGGUGUUCCAGAAGCUUCUGCAGGGGCUCUAUGCUGCACUCAAGGCAUCCCUAAGAGGAGAGCAUUUUGCUGUCCCCACUUUACGGAGAAGGAACGUGGGCUCAGGGUGGUUUAAGGCGUGAAUGAAUGAAGGAGCAAGCAGUAAGCCCCGACAGCAAGGCCACCACAGCCCUCGCCCCACAGGGACGCCUGAGCAAGGACCCAAGCAGGGGACAAGCAGGCUCACCCCGCCCUUGCGGGGCUGACCACGAGGCCCCGUCCGGUGGAACACGCCAUGACGCUUCAGGAGGCUCAUGUAGCUGGCGCCGUAUGGGACAGCGGGGGAGAGAGAAAAUGCACAGCCCAGGGAAUGUGGAGACAGGCCCAGCGCCAGGCAUGGGGGCCGGAAGGAGCAGCCGGGGAGCAGGGGGCAGGGCCUGGAGUCCCGCCUUGCAGAUCUGAACCUGCCCCAGCCCCAGGACUCUGAGUGCAGCAAGAGGGGAGCCGGGCUGGAGAGUGGGGAGCACGGAGACUGUGGCCUGGAUGGUGCCAGAGCAAACAGGAGAGAGGCUGCCCAACGCAGAGGCUGCAGCACAGACCAGAGGGUCCCGGGGCUGACUGGGUGGGGGCAGCUCCCAGCGAGAGGCCCCUGGGAUUUGGGUAAGUAGAGGCACAUGCAGACUCUGGCCACAGGGCACCUCGCGCACGAGGGGAGUUCACCACACAAGCUGAGCGGAGGGCGGACGCAGGAGAGCAGCGGUUUCUCGGAAGCCAAGGGCGGUCAUGGAGCCCCACGCCACAGCGCUUCCCACGGGGCCACACCAUCCGGUCUGCGGAGGGGGCUGCAUUGCCGGGAAGGACCAUCUGAUUCUGGAUUCCAGCCUCACCCUGGGCCACCGCUGAGUGUCCCAAGUGGCCCCUUAGCCCCCAGGGCCAGGCGGCAUCCCAAUCCCCUAGGGAUGUCUGUGCUCAGAAUGUGGCACACACGCCCCGGCAGGGCCAUCCUCCUCCUCCUGCACCCGCCACAGCCGUGGAUUCGGGGUCUCUAUCGUGGGCAGAAAUUCACACAGUCAAGCUCAGAGGACCAAGUGAAUGAAUGAAUGACUCGAUCAAUCAACUGAUCCAUGAAUCCAUGGACCCCUGAACAGCUGGACAGCUGGGCUGUGGGCAGGACAGGGGACUCUGGCUGAAGCCGCGUUCAUAUGUGUUCAGCUUUGUGAGUGGGGCGAGGUUGAGGGCUUAUUCAGUGGGGGAGGUGCACGGCAGGGCCAGUACCCUUGGAGGGUCAGGCCACAGGGGCGGGGACACCUGCCAGGAUGCCCAACCCCAGAGGCAGUGGGAGCUGUUGGGGAGCCGUGGUCCCAGUCAGCGGUGGCUUGAUGAGGGCUGCUCCCACUUCAUCCGCAGGAUUCCAGCCGCAGCUACCCCACACCCGAGCUGUCCCUAGUCGCCCACCGCGGCCGGACAAAGCCCCAGCAGCCAAGGUGCUCCGUGGGGAGGGUUUCUUGGGUUUCUUGAAGCCAGUAUUUCCCAUAGUAUCUUACGUCCCAGCAGAGGCCUCCACUGUGCCCGGACCAGCGGCCCACUCAGUGAGUCGAGUGUGCACCUGGCACCCCUCUUUCUGGAAAUCCACGAACAAUGGGCUCCCAGCAGAGGACUGAGGCUGAGCAGGCCACUUCCCUGGAGCUGACCCCACAGCUGUGUAGGUACAGGGUGGCCGUGAACACUUAGGGCUCUCUCGGGCUGUGCGCUUCUUGUUCACUGCAAGGAGCAGGGUGUUGGCUCCUGACCAAGCCCUGUCACUGCUGCCCAGCCACACGUGGGGCCCCUUCACCCACCCCUGACCACCUCAUGCAGGUGAAGCCACUGUGGAAACAGCCUGGCAGUCCCUUGAAAAAUGAAGUCAUAAACCCCAGCAAUUGCACUCCUGGGCCUCUGACAGAGCUUGCACGUCCCCUCCAAAGCUCGUGUUAAGCUGUGAGCCCCAGUGCCGGAGGUGGGGCCUGGUGUGUUUGGGUUCUGGGGGUGGAUCCCUCAUGGCUGGGUGCCAUGAACCCACUCACCACAGUGAGUUCUCACGAGAUCUGGUUGUUGAGAAGUGUGUCAUACCUCCCCCACAACUCUCUGUCUUUUGUUCCGGCUCUGGCAAUGUAACAAGCCUGCUCCUCCUUCGCCUUCUGCCAUGACUGUAAGCUUUCUGAGGGCUGACCAGAAGCCCAGCAGAUGCCAGCACCAUGCUUCCUAUACAGCCUGCAGAACCGUGAGCCAGCUAAACCUCUCCUCAUAAAUCACCGAGCCCCAGGUUUAUCUUUACAGCAAUGCAAGACCUGACUAAUACAGCACCAGCUCCCCAAAAUAAAAAGAAAUAUUCAAACAAAUAAGCGCACAGAAGUGUUCCCAGCAGCACUAUUCACAGCAGCCAAAAGGCGGAGGAGCCACAGGCUUGUCAGCUGAUGACAGAUAAAGAAAGCAUGGCCUGUCAUCCCAGCACUUUGGGAGGCCGAGGUGGGUGGAUCACCUGAGGUUGGGAGUUCAAGACCAGCCUGGCCAACAUGGUGAAACCCAGUCUCUACUAAAAAUAUAAAAAUUAGCUGGGUGUGAUGAUGAGCGCCUGUAGUCCCAGCUACUUGGAAGGCUGAGGAACAAGAAUCGCUUGAACCCGGGAGGCAGAGGUCGCAGUGAACCGAGAUCAU
rnacentral:lncRNA from 1 species